rnacentral:rRNA from 1 species
AUUGAACGCUGGCGGCAGGCCUAACACAUGCAAGUCGAACGAGUGGCGGACGGGUGAGUAAUGUCUGGGAAUCUAGCUUAUGGAGGGGGAUAACUACGGGAAACUGUAGCUAAUACCGCGUACCAUAGGAUGAGCCCACGUGGGAUUAGCUAGUUGGUGAGGUAAAGGCUCACCAAGCCGACGAUCCCUAGCUGGUCUGAGAGGAUGACCAGCCACACUGGGACUGAGACACGGCCCAGACGCCUACGGGAGGCAGCAGUGGGGAAUAUUGCGCAAUGGGGGCAACCCUGACGCAGCCAUGCCGCGUGAAUGAAGAAGGCCUUCGGGUUGUAAAGUACUUUCGGUAGCGAGGCGUUACCUACAGAAGAAGCACCGGCUAACUCCGUGCCAGCAGCCGCGGUAAUUC